GGAGCACCUACCGAAGUAUCUAAGCUGAUACCAUAUUGAGACUAGAAUCUCUCUGUAAAAUAUAACUUGUAUUUUGCGUACUAAUAAUGGUUGAUUACAUUGCUUAUUUAUACUAACUUUUUUAAUUAAUUAUCCUAUCUAACUAAUUGUAGUUCAGUUCUCACAGACUCCUCGGCUUGGAAGGCGGCACUACGUCACCGGACACAAAUUGCGGAAUACGCGCUACUGGGACCGCACAACGCUAAGUCGUGGAAAGGAAGUGGAGGGGGGAAUUCAAUCAAGAAUAUCAUAGUUACGCUCCGCCCGUAAUUCCCCAAGGACGACUUGGCCAGGGGCAUCUAGGCAAUCAAGAUCGGCAAGGUGGCAUUGAAUAUGUGGAGAAUUCGUUGGCGUAAUCUACUCACGAAAGAUAGGCUCAUCGGGCGCAGAAUGGCAAUAACAGAGAACAGGAGACGAUGGACCACCUCCUUUUCGGAUGCUACUACUCUAACUCCGGGAAGUGAUGGAAGCGGCGGGGUUGCUGGUGAAGCUGGAGAAUGUCGGUUCGUUCGAGGGAGCGACAAUUGAGCUAAACAAGAUCACGAAAGGUUCGCCUGUCUGGGGGUUGUAAUGGACAAUAUUUGGAAUCGUUCUCUUCCAAAUCUGGAAGGAACGCAACUUGCGCAGAAUGCAGGGGAAGUCCGAUUCAAAGCAGGGGCUACUCAGACGAUGCAUAGCGAUGGCGGAGAUAGGCUUCGACGAGCGGAAAUACAAGAGGAGAUCAAAAAACGGUAAGGAACACAACGCGUUGCUGCAAUGAGACGCGCUGAUGCCGCUCAUCCAUGACAAGGAUGGCGGGGGUUAGCGUCGGCUAGCCGUCGGGCAAUUAGGUAGGUCAUUAAAUUUAAUCUAGGUUUAAAUUCGUAACAACUAUAUAAACACUCUUUUAAAUUAAUACUAAAGUAAUCUUUACCAAAAAAAAAAAAAUUACCAACCAUCAUAAACCACAUAUAGCAAAAUUAGUAGAUCGGAUAACCAGCAGCCCAGAGUGAUUGGGUAUGCUACUGCCAUCUCCAUUCAUCAUCUAUGGUGAGUUCAUCUAGAUCGGAUCUAUUCCUAUCUUCUUUUCACACAUCAUCUAUUCUUACCUUCCCAUCACUCAUAUACAUUAUCUUGAUUAAAAAUCUAACACUCGCCAUACCUGAUCCUCCGCUAAUUAAACCGAGCCACACACCUUCCACACCACGUUACGUACCGGUGCUCCCCUAUAGAUCCUCUGGUCACACUGCCAAACCUGGUAUUUCUUUGCCCUAGCCGUUCUCCUCUUUCUCUUCUUUUUCUUUUCAUUUCACUUUCCUUUUUAUGGUAUGUUAUUUC
rnacentral:lncRNA from 1 species